rnacentral:rRNA from 1 species
AGGACGAACGCUGGCGGCGUGCUUAACACAUGCAAGUCGAGCGAGGCCCUUCCUUCGGGAAGGUGCCCUAGCGGCGAACGGGUGAGUAACACGUGGGCAACCUGCCCCUAGCACUGGGAUAACUCCGGGAAACCGGGGCUAAUACCGGAUAUGACCUUUGAGGGCAUCCUCGAAGGUGUAAAGGAUUCUGGCUAGGGAUGGGCCCGCGGCCUAUCAGCUUGUUGGUGGGGUAAUGGCCUACCAAGGCGACGACGGGUAGCCGGCCUGAGAGGGCGACCGGCCACACUGGGACUGAGACACGGCCCAGACUCCUACGGGAGGCAGCAGUGGGGAAUAUUGCACAAUGGGCGAAAGCCUGAUGCAGCGACGCCGCGUGAGGGAUGACGGCCUUCGGUUGUAACCUCUUUCUAGCAGGGACGAAGCGAAAGUGACGGUACCGUGCAGAAGAAGCGACCGCCAACUACGUGCCAGCAGCCGC